AGUGAACGCUGGCGGUAGGCCUAACACAUGCAAGUCGAACGGCAGCACAGUAAGAGCUUGCUCUUACGGGUUGCGAGUGGCGGACGGGUGAGGAAUACAUCGGAAUCUACUUUUUCGUGGGGGAUAACGUAGGGAAACUUACGCUAAUACCGCAUACGACCUACGUGUGAAAGCAGGGGAUCUUCGGACCUUGCGCGAUUGAAUGAGCCGAUGUCGGAUUAGCUAGUUGGCGGGGUAAAGGCCCACCAAGGCGACGAUCCGUAGCUGGUCUGAGAGGAUGAUCAGCCACACUGGAACUGAGACACGGUCCAGACUCCUACGGGAGGCAGCAGUGGGGAAUAUUGGACAAUGGGCGCAAGCCUGAUCCAGCCAUACCGCGUGGGUGAAGAAGGCCUUCGGGUUGUAAAGCCCUUUUGUUGGGAAAGAAAAGCAGCAGGUUAAUACCCCGCUGUUCUGACGGUACCCAAAGAAUAAGCACCGGCUAACUUCGUG
rnacentral:rRNA from 1 species